GAUGUUAAAAGUGCUUUUCUAAAUAGUUUUAUUAAUGAGGAGGUAUACGUUGAGCAACCUCCUGGUUUUUAAAACCAUAAGUUUCCAAAUUAUGUUUUUAAAUUGACUAAAGCCUUAUAUGGUUUGAAACAAGCUCUUAGAGCUUGGUAUGAAAGGCUUAGUAACUUUGUUUUACAAAAUAGUUUUUUAAAAGGAGAAGUUGACGCAACUCUUUGUUAAAAAUCAUAAAAAUGACAUCCUUGUAAUGCAAAUAUAUGUUGAUGAUAUUAUAUUUGGUGCUAAUAAUGAAUGUGUGUGUGAAGAGUUUGCCAACACCAUGAAGAGUGAGUUUGAGAUGAGCAUGAUGAGAGAACUCAAACUCUUCCUUAGGCUUCAAAUCAAGCAAGCUAAGGAUGGCACUUUCAUCAAACAAGCCAAGUAUACAAAAGAAUUGAUCAAGAGGUAUGGGAUGGAAAAUAACAAGCCAAGUAGAACUCCAAUGAG
rnacentral:misc_RNA from 1 species